rnacentral:rRNA from 1 species
CUGGGCGUAAGAGCGCGUAGGCGGGGAUUUAAGUCAGGAGUGAAAACUGGCGGCUCAACCACCAGCCUGCUCUUGAAACUGAAUCUCUUGAGGGUAUGAGAGGAAAGCGGAAUUCCCAGUGUAGCGGUGAAAUGCGUAGAUAUUGGGAGGAACACCAGUGGCGAAGGCGGCUUUCUGGCAUACAACUGACGCUGAGGCGCGAAAGCGUGGGGAGCAAACGGGAUUAGAUACCCCGGUAGUCCACGCCGUAAACGAUGGGUACUAGGUGUAGGAGGUAUCGACCCCUUCUGUGCCGUAGUUAACACAAUAAGUACCCCGCCUGGGGAGUACGGCCGCAAGGUUGAAACUCAAAGGAAUUGACGGGGGCCCGCACAAGCGGUGGAGUAUGUGGUUUAAUUCGACGCAACGCGAAA